rnacentral:rRNA from 1 species
UACGAGGGGUGCGAGCGUUGCUCGGAAUUAUUGGGCGUAAAGGGUAGGUAGGUGGUCUUAUUUGUCUGGGGUGAAAUCCUUGAGCUUAACUCAAGAAGUGCCCCAGAAACGGUAAGACUAGAGUCCUGGAGAGGGUCGUGGAAUUCCCGGUGUAGCGGUGAAAUGCGUAGAGAUCGGGAGGAGCACCAGAGGCGAAGGCGGCGACCUGGACAGGCACUGACACUCAACUACGAAAGCGUGGGGAGCAAACAGG